UGCAGUCGAGCGAUCUGAGGGAGCUUGCUCCCAAAGAUUAGCGGCGGACGGGUGAGUAACACGUGGGCAACCUGCCUGUAAGACUGGGAUAACUUCGGGAAACCGGAGCUAAUACCGGAUAAUCCCUUUCCUCACAUGAGGAAAGGCUGAAAGACGGCGUCUAGCUGUCACUUACAGAUGGGCCCGCGGCGCAUUAGCUAGUUGGUGAGGUAACGGCUCACCAAGGCCACGAUGCGUAGCCAACCUGAGAGGGUGAUCGGCCACACUGGGACUGAGACACGGCCCAAACUCCUACGGGAGGCAGCAGUAGGGAAUCUUCCGCAAUGGACGAAAGUCUGACGGAGCAACGCCGCGUGAGUGAUGAAGGUUUUCGGAUCGUAAAACUCUGUUGUUAGGGAAGAACAAGUAUCGGAGUAACUGCCGGUACCUUGACGGUACCUAACCAGAAAGCCACGGCUAACUACGUGCCAGCAGCCGCGGUAAUACGUAGGUGGCAAGCGUUGUCCGGAAUUAUUGGGCGUAAAGCGCGCGCAGGUGGUUCCUUAAGUCUGAUGUGAAAGCCCACGGCUCACCCGUGGAGGGUCAUUGGAAACUGGGGAACUUGAGUGCAGAAAAGGAAAUGGAAUUCCAGUGUAGCGGUGAAUGCGUAGAGAUUUGGAGGAAACCAGUGGCGAAGGCGACUUCUGGUCUGUACUGACACUGAGGCGCGAAGCGUGGGGAGCGAACAGGAUUAGAUACCUGGUAGCCACGCCGAAACGAUGAGUGCUAGUGUUAGAGGG
rnacentral:rRNA from 1 species